rnacentral:lncRNA from 1 species
UGCGAACUGAAUUGACAAAUAAUUACCCAGAACACUGGAUCACAGUCAGAAGUGAAAGGGAAGGCAGUCUACCACCACCAGAUACAGAACCGUCACCUGCAUAGGGUUAGACAUGUCGGAAAUGACUGUGAACCAGGAAACGUGCAGCUACAAAGCAAUUCCCCUUUUUGUUGGCUAAAUAAUCCGCACAGCUCUGAAGAGGGUGCCUCUACGGCCGUCUUUGUUGAGAAGAGGAAGGCAGAAGGAUGUGGACACAAAGCCACGCGAGUGUGACCUUCUCUAAUAGAGUAACCAUCCCAUUGAAAAAUUGGUGGCAUGCAGGUUUCAGCUAGUGCAAGAAUCUUAACGAGGACCUACAAGAGUCUGUGUGCAGAAUGACAGCCUGAACAAAUCAAAAGAAAUUCACCACUGGGAAGGAUCAAUACCUUAUCACUGGCGUCAGUUAGAAGUGGACUAGACAGAGAACUAGAGACUCAACUGUAAGGAACAAUUCCCAGCCUGGUGGAGAGGGAAGGGGUGGGGGACAUCAAAGAGACCCUUCCUAUCUGAAUCUCUAUGACGUCACAGUACUAGCCAUACCAAGGGAAUUUCACUAAGGAAGCAGUGUGCUUCAAGCAAUGGCUUCUUGCCAAAGCUCCUUUGACUUCACCUUGGUAUUCCCAGAAUACCACUUGGGCUACACUUUCAACAGGUGGCUUGGAGGCUCAAGAUAAUUCUCACCACCUCCACUGCAAUGCCUGUUCCCCAAAGCUCCAAUGUCAUUUACCACCCUUUCAUGCCAAUUCCGAAGCGAAGUCCCAAGCGUGCCGGACAUUCCCAUGCUGCUGUCAGACGGCUGUAAACUCACAGCUCCCAAAAUGUAAACCUUUACCUCUAUCGAUCUCCAGGGCUACACGUAACAGUAGGUGA